rfam:Dipodomys ordii contig_12951, whole genome shotgun sequence.
GGUGGCUCAGUGGUAGAGCACUUGCCUUGCAUGCAUGAGGCACUGGGUUCGAUUCCCCAGCACCA